rnacentral:rRNA from 1 species
AGAGUUUGAUCCUGGCUCAGAUUGAACGCUGGCGGCAUGGCUAAAACAUGCAAGUCGUGGGAGAAUCCACUUCGGUGGAGGACACCGGCGAAAGGGCUAGUAAUGGUAUCGAACGUACCCCGAGGUUGAGGAUAGCUGGGGGAAACUCCAGGUAAUACUCGAUAAGCUCUACGGAGGAAAGCUCCGGCGCCUUGGGAGCGGCGAUACUCCUAUCAGGUAGUUGGUGGGGUAAAGGCCUACCAAGCCAAAGACGGGUAGCGGGUGUGAGAGCAUGACCCGCAGCAUCGGGACUGAGACACUGCCCGGACUCCUACGGGAGGCUGCAGUAACGAAUCUUCCGCAAUGCGCGAAAGCGUGACGGAGCAAUGCCGCGUGUGGGAUGAAGCGGUUUCGCCGCGUAAACCACUGUCAGGUCCUAGGAACACUGACCGGGACCAGAGGAAGGGCCGGCUAACCUCGUGCCAGCAGCCGCGGUAAGACGAGGGGCCCAAGCGUUAAUCGGAAUCACUGGGCUUAAAGGGUGCGCAGGCGGACCAGCAAGCAUCUCGUGAAAGCCCCCGGCUCAACCGGGGAACUGCGGGGUGAACUGCUGGUCUUGAGACAGGUAGGGGCAGACGGAACUGUCGGUGGAGCGGUGAAAUGCUUAGAUAUCGACAGGAACGCCAAUGGCGAAGGCAGUCUGCUGGGCCUGUUCUGACGCUCAGGCACGAAAGCGUGGGGAGCAAACAGGAUUAGAUACCCUGGUAGUCCACGCCGUAAACGAUGUGCACUAGAUCGAGGUGGCUCUCACGCCUUCUCGGUCGAAGGAAAACCGUUAAGU